rnacentral:rRNA from 1 species
AUUGAACGCUAGCGGGAUGCUUUACACAUGCAAGUCGAACGGCAGCGCGGACUUCGGUCUGGCGGCGAGUGGCGAACGGGUGAGUAAUGUAUCGGAACGUGCCCAGUAGCGGGGGAUAACUACGCGAAAGCGUAGCUAAUACCACAUACGCCCUACGGGGGAAAGCAGGGGAUCGUAAGACCUUGCACUAUUGGAGCGGCCGAUAUCGGAUUAGCUAGUUGGUGAGGUAACGGCUCACCAAGGCGACGAUCCGUAGCUGGUUUGAGAGGACGACCAGCCACACUGGGACUGAGACACGGCCCAGACUCCUACGGGAGGCAGCAGUGGGGAAUUUUGGACAAUGGGGGCAACCCUGAUCCAGCCAUCCCGCGUGUGCGAUGAAGGCCUUCGGGUUGUAAAGCACUUUUGGCAGGAAAGAAACGUCGCGGGCUAAUACCCCGUGGAACUGACGGUACCUGCAGAAUAAGCACCGGCUAACUACGUG